rnacentral:lncRNA from 10 species
GUAUGAUCUCGGCUCACUACAAGCUCCGUCUUCUAGGUUCAUGCCAUUCUCCUGCCUCAGCCUCAGCCUCCCAAGUAGCUGGGACUACAGGUGCCCGCCACUAUGCCCGGCUAAUUUUUUGUAUUUUUAGUAGAGACGGGGUUUCACCGUGUUAGCCAGGAUGGUCUUGAUCUCCUGACCUCAUGAUCCACCCACCUCAGCCUCCCAAAGUGCUGGGAUUACAGGUGAGUGUUGGGUGCAUAUAUAUUUAAAAUUGUUAUAU